rnacentral:rRNA from 1 species
CCUACGGGAGGCAGCAGUGAGGAAUAUUGGUCAAUGGACGAGAGUCUGAACCAGCCAAGUAGCGUGAAGGAUGACUGCCCUAUGGGUUGUAAACUUCUUUUAUAUGGGAAUAAAAUGUUCCACGUGUGGGAUUUUGUAUGUACCAUAUGAAUAAGGAUCGGCUAACUCCGUGCCAGCAGCCGCGGUAAUACGGAGGGUCCGAGCGUUAUCCGGAUUUAUUGGGUUUAAAGGGAGCGUAGGUGGAUUGUUAAGUCAGUUGUGAAAGUUUGCGGCUCAACCGAAAGAUUGCAGUUGAAACUGGCAGUCUUGAGUACAGUAGAGGUGGGCGGAAUUCGUGGUGUAGCGGUGAAAUGCUUAGAUAUCACGAAGAACUCCGAUUGCGAAGGCAGUUCACUGGACUGCAACUGACACUGAGGCUCGAAAGUGUGGGUAUCAAACAGGAUUAGAUACCCUGGUAGUC